rnacentral:rRNA from 1 species
GAACGAACGCUGGCGGCAGGCUUAACACAUGCAAGUCGAACGCCCCGCAAGGGGAGUGGCAGACGGGUGAGUAACGCGUGGGAAUCUACCCAAUUCUUCGGAACAACACAUGGAAACGUGUGCUAAUACCGAAUGAGCCCUUCGGGGGAAAGAUUUAUCGGAAUUGGAUGAGCCCGCGUUGGAUUAGCUAGUUGGUGGGGUAAAGGCCUACCAAGGCGACGAUCCAUAGCUGGUCUGAGAGGAUGAUCAGCCACACUGGGACUGAGACACGGCCCAGACUCCUACGGGAGGCAGCAGUGGGGAAUAUUGGACAAUGGGCGCAAGCCUGAUCCAGCCAUGCCGCGUGAGUGAUGAAGGUCUUAGGAUUGUAAAGCUCUU